GGCGGUUCUCAGGUAGCGCACCCCGGCAUCGGGCUCCCUCCUCUCUGGUUCCAGGGUGCAUCACCCGAGAACUGCG
rfam:Myotis lucifugus cont2.7380, whole genome shotgun sequence.